GAGUUGUAUGUGAGAAUUGGAGGGAAUUAAAUCAAUUUUAUUCCAUUAACUUUUCUGUUCUUACAUAUUUGAUUUAAUUUCCUCCAAUAUCUUACCUCCAAUUC
rfam:Gossypium raimondii Chr13_contig_590, whole genome shotgun sequence.